rfam:Pristionchus pacificus strain PS312 contig4953, whole genome shotgun sequence.
UCUUCAUUUCACAUACUCUCUCACCGGUCGGAGAGGUGAGAGAGCGUAUAAAAUGAAGAGA